UGAGGAAUAUUGGUCAAUGGGCGAGAGCCUGAACCAGCCAAGUCGCGUGAAGGAAAACAGUCCUAAGGAUUGUAAACUUCUUUUAUACGGGAAUAACGGGCGAUACGAGUAUUGCAUUGAAUGUACCGUAAGAAUAAGCAUCGGCUAACUCCGUGCCAGCAGCCGCGGUAAUACGGAGGAUGCGAGCGUUAUCCGGAUUUAUUGGGUUUAAAGGGUGCGUAGGUUGUUCGGUAAGUCAGCGGUGAAACCUGAGCGCUCAACGUUCAGCCUGCCGUUGAAACUGCCGGGCUUGAGUUCAGUGGCGGCAGGCGGAAUUCGUGGUGUAGUGGUGAAAUGCAUAGAUAUCACGAGGAACUCCGAUUGCGAAGGCAGCUUGCCAUACUGCGACUGACACUGAAGCACGAAGGCGUGGGUAUCAAACAGG
rnacentral:rRNA from 1 species